rnacentral:misc_RNA from 1 species
UCCUCUCACAUUUCUCGUGACAUAUUUCCGGCACAUAUACUUCUAACAACAGUCCGUAACUCAUAUAUAUAUAUAUAUACAUGAUCAUUGUCAAUUUCCCACAACGAUAUUCUAAAAGGAUGUGUGAUCAAAGGUUAAUUCAUUUGGAGUCACUAAGCUUGGAUAAUAAGUAGAGGCAACCAGAGCAAAGGAGAACAGAGGCUGAGAAGCAAAGUAAAUCCAUGGGAGAGUGCAUAACUGCUGUCUUACUUUUUUCAAAGAAACCAGCAUCACAAUGACAUGGCCUAGUUUAGUUUUCAGCUCAUUCACAGUUUUUAUUUCUAACCAUCUUGGCCGUUCCUUUAAGGUGAAUAAUCCAAAUAAAUUUGAUCUAUGAGGUACUCUUUUCCCUGACAACAGUUUAGCAGUGUCAAGAUUGCUAAUAAAAAGCUCAUAGAGACCCAUUCCAAACACCAGCAUAACUGUUCCUAAAAGAUAGACAUCUAUGGCCUCUACCAGCAAUAUGAUCACUUUACCACGAUUCACAAAGUAUUCCAUGAAAGAUGAC